UUGAAGUGAAUAAACAGAGAUGUAUAACAUUUUAAAACUUUUAAGAGUGAAAAAAGCCUGGUUCUGCAGUGUCUCUCUGUUUCAGGCUCAGAGAGAACGGAAUUCUCCAGAAGUUUACUGCAUUACUGCAUCCUUACUGCACUGCUGAUUGUAUUAACUGGAGGAGCUGCAAUCACACUCACCUACUGCACACAGAAAGCUUACAAAAACAACACAAACAGCACCAGACAACCUGCAUCAUUUGAACAAAAACAAUUUCCUUCACGCAAUUCACACAGGGUAAAAGACAAAAAACAGCAAGAACAUGAGCAGGACACAAAUUCCUCUGCACACUCUGACCUACAAAAAUAUGACAGUGAAACAGGUUCAGCCAUUACGCAGGUGGUGCCAGAAAACCAGGAUGAAUACUGUUCAAUGUAUUCCAUACUUCCAUUAAAAAAUCGAGCAGAGGACGUGUACGCAAAUAUGGACAAACCACCACAGGAUCAAGAGUAUGUUAGCAUGAUGCCUCACUGUUCAGUUCACCCUGACCUGAUACAAAACACAGACACCACAGCUACAUCUACCUCCGGCAGUUAGAGAAGAGAGUAAACCAGAAAUCAGCCUUUACAAUCAACACUCCACAACCCCUCCUAAUCUCAAGAAUUUUGUAUAUAGCCUGUUUACCACACAUAUAGGCAAUUUCAGUUACUCGCAGUGCACAAACCCAUUUAAAACAAUUAAGCACUUUUGUUCUUCAUUAUACAGCAACUUACUAUGCAGAUUUCAAUUUCUUUACCUGACACUACCCUCACUCAACCAAAAGAUGAUCUUUAAGAUUAUUUCUGUAACAAUAUCCCUAUUUAUUUGUUUGCACAUUUGUUUUUUUUACUUGAUUUGUUACAUUUAUUUAUUUUAAAAAAAUCAGUCAGAAUCUGUAGGACAUUUCAUGGCUGAACUGAUAAAGUAAUAGAGGUAAUAAAAAUAUUAACAUCUACUAAAGCAGCGUACACAACUUAUUAACAACUGACCUUUGUUGUUUUGGAAAUCCUGAAUAUAUCAAAUAGAACAGAAGCAGAAAUUAAUUCAAAAGUUAUUAUUGAUGCUGAUGGGUAUGUGUGUGUGUUUGUGUGUGUCACAAGGAUAGCAUAGAUAGCAAUAUAUGAUUUUGUUGAUCAAAAUGACAACAGCAUUACAACACUUUGGUUAAUUCAUGUUUGUUGUUUUACUUAAAAACAUCUCGGUGAACAAUCAGUGCAGAAUAUGUGUU